AUUGAACGCUGGCGGCAUGCUUUACACAUGCAAGUCGAACGGCAGCGCGGGCUUCGGCCUGGCGGCGAGUGGCGAACGGGUGAGUAAUACAUCGGAACGUGCCCAGUAGUGGGGGAUAGCUCGUCGAAAGCCGGAUUAAUACCGCAUACGACCUGAGGGUGAAAGCGGGGGAUCUUCGGACCUCUCGCUAUUGUAGCGGCCGAUGGCAGAUUAGCUAGUUGGUGGGGUAAAGGCCUACCAAGGCGACGAUCUGUAGCUGGUCUGAGAGGACGACCAGCCACACUGGGACUGAGACACGGCCCAGACUCCUACGGGAGGCAGCAGUGGGGAAUCUUGGACAAUGGGCGAAAGCCUGAUCCAGCAAUGCCGCGUGUGUGAUGAAGGCCUUCGGGUUGUAAAGCACUUUUGGCGGGAACGAAAAGGACUGUGCCAAUACCACGGUUCGAUGACGGUACCCGCAGAAUAAGCACCGGCUAACUACGUG
rnacentral:rRNA from 1 species